UACAGAGGGUGCGAGCGUUAAUCGGAAUUACUGGGCGUAAAGGGCGUGUAGGUGGUUGCGUAAGAUUGAUGUGAAAUCCCUGGGCUUAACCUAGGAACUGCAUCGAUGACUGCGUAGCUAGAGUACUGUAGAGGGGAGUGGAAUUUCCGGUGUAGCGGUGAAAUGCGUAGAGAUCGGAAGGAACACCAGUGGCGAAGGCGGCUACCUGGACAGAUACUGACACUGAGGCGCGAGAGCGUGGGGAGCAAACAGG
rnacentral:rRNA from 1 species